rnacentral:rRNA from 1 species
AACCUGCCCAGUGCUAAUUGUAAAUGGCCGCAGUACCUUGACUGUGCUAAGGUAGCAUAAUCAAUUGGCUUUUAAAUGGAGUCGGGAAUGAAUGGAUUAAUGGGGUGAGACUGUCUCUUCUAUAUUAAAUUGAAUUUACUUAUUAGGUGAAAAUUCCUAAAUACUGAAAAAAGACGAGAAGACCCUAGGAGUUUUUACUAAAAGUUAUUAUUUAGCUUAUGUUUUGGUUGGGGCGACAUUGGAAAAAUUGAACUUCCUUUAUAUCAUAUGCCGACUUGGUAUGAAAAUUUAAACUACCCUAGGGAUAACAGCGUAAUUCUUUUUUGAGCUUGCGACCUCGAUGUUGGACUAGGAAUUUACUAGGCUAGCCGUCUACCUACAC